UACAGAGGGUGCAAGCGUUGUUCGGAAUUAUUGGGCGUAAAGCGCGUGUAGGCGGCAUGGCAAGUCGGGUGUGAAAUCCCUCAGCUCAACUGAGGAAGUGCGCCCGAAACUGCUUUGCUUGAGUGCUGGAGAGGGUCGCGGAAUUCCCCAAGUAGAGGUGAAAUUCGUAGAUAUGGGGAGGAACACCGGUGGCGAAGGCGGCGACCUGGACAGUAACUGACGCUGAGACGCGAAAGCGUGGGUAGCAAACAGG
rnacentral:rRNA from 1 species